rnacentral:lncRNA from 1 species
UACAAAAAUUGUAUUUGGAAAUUAUGGAGAAAAAAGUGAUAAACAAUAGAAUUAAAUAGAGAGCAUAAUUCAAAAAAAUAACCAAAAUAGUAUCCCCAUAUUUUUUUGGGAAGUAUAAAUAGUAUCCCCUUAUUUCUUUUACAUAUAAUAACUAAAUUUUCUGUGAUUAUGUAACUAAAUUUUCUCUAGUUAUCAUUGAUUAAUGUAUUUCCUUAUCAAAUUUUUUAUUUAAGUGAUAUUGAUUUGGAAUUUGAACCACUCUUUAGUUUUGUGAACCACUCUUUUUUAAAAAUAAUGUUAGUGUCCAUGAUUCAAAAGUGUAUAGUGAGAUAUAUCUUCCUUCAAAGGUCAACGAAACAUCUAAAAGAUUCGCCAGACGAAGUGUUAUCAUCUUUGGUUCCACCGUCGUCCGUCGGUAUUGGAAGUCUUCUAACUACAGUUCUUGUUGAAGCUGAAGGCUUUGGUUCUGACUUCUGAUUAAAAGAAAAAAAAAAAAUCAUCAGCCAAGUCGAAACCUUCUUAAUUUUUACCUCCUUAGCUUAAGACAGAAACUCAGUUGGUCUUGAUGUUUUAAUCAACAACCUCAUAUUUUUUUUGAAAAUCAUCUUAGCGAUAAUUAAAUUAAAUAUGUCACUGCGUUUCUCUUUUUAA